GCGGUUACCAUCAUCUUCUACAUAUAUAACUCCCCCUUGAGUGGUUGUUCUCACAGAUGACCACUCUAUGUCUUGAUAAUUUUAUUUAAGAAAUUAAUUUUAGUAGCAGGCUAUCCUUAUGUGACCUCUUGUCCGAACAACAAGAGACUUUCAAGUGACACGAUAGACACAACUUGGCAAAUAUCGAUGGGCCUAAUUUUUUUUUGAUCAUUUAUUAUAGUCGUUCAUCAUGGAAUAGUUUUGUGGGUAUAAAAAGAUACCUCUUAAUGUGGGCUUAGAACUCUAAUAAAUUAACUUGGAGAUCGAAGAAGAACUGA
rnacentral:lncRNA from 1 species